GGGCGAAUGGUCUAGGGGUAUGAUAUUCGCUUUGCAUUUAUGGCUGGGAUUCAUUUCGUAGCUGAGAUAGUGCUUGCUUGCGAAGGGUCUGGGGUUCAAAUCCCCGUUCGUCCA